rnacentral:rRNA from 1 species
UACAGAGGUCUCGAGCGUUAGGCGGAAUCACUGGGCUUAAAGCGUGUGUAGGCGGAUCGUUAAGUGCCUUGUGAAAUCCCACGGCUCAACCGUGGAACUGCUUGGCAUACUGGCGGUCUUGAGCAACCUAGGGGCGAGCGGAACAAAUGGUGGAGCGGUGAAAUGCGUAGAUAUCAUUUGGAACGCCAAUGGUGAAAACAGCUCGCUGGGGGUUUGCUGACGCUGAGACACGAAAUCCAGGGGAGCAAACGGG